UAUGCACCUCGUUAGGUGAGGCGUCUACACGAAUACAGGCCACUGACCCCGAACGUCGAAAGACGCCCCGGGUCAGGACAGCUCCUCCCGGCUUAAGGGUUGAGCCCAGGUGGCUUCCGGAUUACCGGACACGUCGUGUAGUGCCAAAGCUCUGACGAGAGGGGUGCGGA
rfam:Mycobacterium saskatchewanense strain DSM 44616 contig_11, whole genome shotgun sequence.